GUGAACGAGCGACGCCGCGUGGAGGAUGAAGGCCUUCGGGUUGUAAACUCCUGUCGAGGGGGAAGAAGGCCGGGAGACCGGCUUGACUUAUCCCUGGAGGAAGCACGGGCUAAGUUCGUGCCAGCAGCCGCGGUAAGACGAACCGUGCGAACGUUAUUCGGAAUCACUGGGCUUAAAGCGCGUGUAGGCGGAACGGCACGUCGGUCGCUGAAAUCCCCCGGCUCAACCGGGGAACGGGCGCCGAUACGACCGUUCUCGAGGGACGUAGGGGGACCUGGAACUUCCGGUGGAGCGGUGAAAUGCGUUGAGAUCGGAAGGAACGCCCGUGGCGAAAGCGAGGUCCUGGACGUUUUCUGACGCUGAGACGCGAAAGCCAGGGGAGCGAACGGGAUUAGAUACCCCGGUAGUCCUGGCCGUAAACGAU
rnacentral:rRNA from 1 species